rnacentral:sRNA from 1 species
AGUGUCUUGUGGCAUCUGAUCCUUUAAAGAACACUGCACUAUCUGCUUUUUUCCAUGUUCUUGCUUUGAUUCUCCAUGGAGAUACCGCUGCCCGUGAAGUUGCCUCAAAGGCUGGUCUUGUCAAGGUUGUUUUGAAUCUGCUGUGCAGCUGGGAGUUGGAGCCAAGGGAAGGUCAAACAACCAAGGUUCCCAAUUGGGUUACUUCCUGUUUCCUUUCUGCUGAUAGAAUGCUCCAGUUGGAACCCAAGUUGCCAGAUGUUACUGAGCUUGAUGUUCUCAAAAAGGAUAAUUCACCUACACAAACAUCUGUUGUGAUUGAUGACAGCAAGAAGAAGGAUUCAGAAUCUUCCUCAAGUGUAGGGUUAUUGGACUUGGAGGACCAGGAGCAACUUUUGAGGAUAUGCUGUAAAUGCAUUCAGAAGCAGUUGCCUUCCGGUACAAUGCAUGCUAUUCUUCAGUUGUGUGCUACACUGACGAAAGUCCAUGUGGCUGCUAUCAGUUUUCUUGAGUCUGGUGGCCUACAUGCGUUGCUAAGUUUGCCGACAAGUAGCUUGUUUUCUGGAUUCAACAGUGUGGUUUCUACAAUUAUCCGUCAUAUUUUGGAGGAUCCCCAUACUCUUCAGCAAGCUAUGGAAUUAGAGAUACGCCAUAGUCUUGUCACGGCUGCUAAUAGGCAUGCAAAUCCUAGGGUUACACCACGUAAUUUUGUUCAGAAUUUGGCGUUUGUUGUAUACAGGGACCCAGUGAUAUUUAUGAAGGCUGCCCAAGCUGUGUGCCAGAUUGAGAUGGUUGGAGAUAGACCGUAUGUUGUUCUAUUGAAGGACCGUGAGAAGGAAAAGAGCAAGGAAAAAGAGAAGGAUAAGCUGGUUGAUAAGGAUAAAUCAUCAGGUGUUGCCACAAAGAUAACAUCAGGGGACAUGGUUAUGGCAUCUCCUGUAAGUGCCAAAGGGAAACAAUCUGAUUUGAGUGCAAGGAAUAUGAAAUCUCAUCGCAAGCCACCACAAACCUUUGUCACUGUUAUUGAGCAUCUAUUAGAUCUAGUAAUGUCCUUUGUCCCACCACAAAGAGCUGAGGACCAAUCUGAUGGUUCGUCAUCCAUGGACAUGGAUAUUGACUCUAGUUCAGCAAAAGGUAAAGGGAAGGCCGUUGCUGUCACACAUGAAGAGUCCAAGCAAGCAAUCCAAGAUGCUACUGCAUGUCUGGCUAAAAACGCAUUUGUCCUAAAGCUGCUCACAGAUGUACUAUUAACUUAUGCUUCUUCCGUUCAAGUUGUUCUUCGCCAUGAUGCUGAGUUGAGCAGCACGCGAGGUCCUACUCGGACCAGUGGUGGAAUAUUUAAUCAUAUAUUGCAGCAUUUGCUUCCACAUGCUACAAAACAAAAGAAAAAAAAAAA